rnacentral:miRNA from 1 species
AUGCUAGAGCCACUUAAGAGA